rnacentral:rRNA from 1 species
CCCUUGCGUAACGCGUGGGAAUCUGCCCUUGGGUUCGGAAUAACGUCGGGAAACUGACGCUAAUACCGGAUGAUGACGUAAGUCCAAAGAUUUAUCGCCCAGGGAUGAGCCCGCGUAGGAUUAGCUAGUUGGUAAGGUAAAGGCUUACCAAGGCGACGAUCCUUAGCUGGUCUGAGAGGAUGAUCAGCCACACUGGGACUGAGACACGGCCCAGACUCCUACGGGAGGCAGCAGUAGGGAAUAUUGGACAAUGGGGGCAACCCUGAUCCAGCAAUGCCGCGUGAGUGAUGAAGGCCUUAGGGUUGUAA